ACUGACCCGAGCCGUUUGUAACAAGGCUUAAAUUACAAUGUUUUGUUCGUUCGGCUCGCGUUACAA
rfam:Lottia gigantea unplaced genomic scaffold LOTGIsca_118, whole genome shotgun sequence.